rnacentral:tRNA from 1 species
GGGUAUAGCUUAGUGCUAGAGUGCUUGCCUAGCAUGCAUGAGGCCCUGGGUUCAAUCCUCAGCACCACA